rnacentral:rRNA from 1 species
GACACUACUCUGACAA